AUACUUCCGGGACUAGGGUGAUCAAGGACGCACUGGCCCCAGGUGGAGGCUCGCCCUAGCACUCUGACGGGUUGAAGCCUGCGACAAUUCUUGAUCGGGCUCACUCGGGCGCCUAGUUUUUGCCAGUGGGGAGGUCUUCAGACUAUCCUUU
rnacentral:snRNA from 13 species